AGGGACUGGAACUUGGCCUGGUUCGCAGAAGGCUUCGCCAUGACCGCGCGACCGUCGAGAGAACCGCGCGAGGGAGACGAGCAGGAGUUGGGCGAAGCCGUCGCCUUCACGCGCUGGCCCGAGGCCGCCUUCUGCUGCUUGGGCGGCGAGGUCCGCGGCGAGCGCUUGGGAGGCGAGGGUCGGUUGGCCUUGGGCGCCAGCGGCAGCGGGGGCGCAUCCGCGAAAUCAAAGGGUGUCAGCUCGCGGACCUUCAUCGGCUCGGCCAUGGCCGGGCGCGCCUGAGACACCGCAAUAAGGCGGUCCACCAGCUCCGACGAAUCGCCC
rnacentral:lncRNA from 1 species